AACGGUCUAUACCUGCGGUACCUGCGGAGGGAUCAUUACCGAGUUUACAACUCCCAAACCCCAAUGUGAACAUUACCUUUACUGUUGCUUCGGCGGGAUCGCCCCGGGCGCGGCCGAGAGGCCCAGCCCCGGAUCCAACGUGCGCCCGCCGGAGGACCCCCAGACUCCAUGUUUCUUGCAAGGUAUUUCUGAGCUGCUCCUAGCGAGCAAAACAAAAAAUGAAUCAAAACUUUUAACAAC
rnacentral:misc_RNA from 1 species